ACAGGCCCUCUGCCCCUACUUCAGCAAAGAAGCAAAGCUGCGGGAAGCGGUUAUGGCACAGAAAGCUGCAAACUGAAGAGGGAGAGAGCACUUUCCCCAGACCCACCUCUUCCAGGUGCAAACUCCAGCAAAGCAAGGCCCUUUUUCAGCUUCAGGACGCAGCCACAAGAAAGUCAAACACCUCAUGAUAACAAAAGUGUGUUGAUCCUCACAGAAGAAUGUAGCUAGAAGCAAGGGUUACUCCAGGCAGGCUGCUUUUAUGCUGACAACAGGAUAAAACCAGGGUAGCAGCCUGAACAGGAAGGAUUUGCCUCAGCAGCAGUGACAUUUAAUUAAAAUGGACCAUGUUCUCAAAUGCUUGGAAUUGAAAAGGCACAGAAACAUAAAGCUGAACAUAUCUCACAGUUUACUGAUGAAUUGCGA